AAUACCAUUGUGUACAAUUGCCUACAGUAUUCAGUACAGUAACCUGCUUACAGGUCUGUAGCCUGGGAGCCAUAGGCCAUACCACGUAGCCCAGGAGUGUAGUGGGCUAUACCACCCAGGUUUGCGUAAGCGCACUCUCCUGUUCGCACAAUGAUGAAAUCGCCUAAGGACAUGUUUCUCAGAAGGUAUCUCCGGCGUUGAGCAGCACAUGACUAUAGUAUUGUCUUUUUUCUUCUCUUUUGGAAACCAACUAGAGCUGUCUACCAAUUUUGUGGCUGCCUCAGCACCCAGAAAUCAGAUUCAGGCCUACUAUUGGAUAUUCAGGGAAUCUCUGCCGGAAACUAUGGAAAAUAUACAUAUUCAAUCCCCACUCUAGUAAACAGCUCAACUCCCAGCAUUGAGGCUCUACUUGUCCCUCCGGUUUACCAAUCACAUAGCUUUCUAGUAGCCUGAGAUAAUGGUAGCAAAUAGGUCUCUUUUACAGGUGAGGUCAACCCAUCCAAACCUCUAAUUUCAAGAAGUAAAUCAGGCUUCAGUCUUAUAUCCCUUAGCCUUACAUCAGGCAAUUUUACUUCCCGUUACCCCACAGGCAUCAACAUCUCCAGUGUCCUCCGCCAGUUUCCAGACCUCUAGCCCCCAAGGUCCCCAGGCCAGUGUCUCUCAAUUUCAGCCCGCCUUUUCACUAUAUAAUCUAUAUUCUUCUUCUUGUCCAUGAAAAUGUCUAUUUUAUUUUUAUUUUAAAUGGCAUCUAUGUUUUUAAAAAAUUUUUUCUCUUUUAGUAAUCUAUUAUUUUUAUACGUUUGGGACAUUUGGAGUGUCUAAAAUUGUGACUUUACAAAGUCAUCUCCACUGGAAGUAUGAAUUUUAUCUUUAAUGCUCUGUCUUAAUUCAUUAAGUAACACUAAAGAUAGUACAAGUAAAUCUUAAAGCAAAAGAUAAAAGAUGAAGGUCAUGCAAGCAGCAGAAAGCCCCACAUCUCACCUAUUUUUGUUCCAUUUCUGCUCUUUCUCUUGUAACAGCUGAAGUAGAAAGAAUUGCAUAGCAUUCUUUUCGUUAAUUGUAGAAUUACAUAAUUUGCAUGUCCUUCUACAUGCCUAGGAGAGUCCAAUGACAUAAUGAGUCCACAUCCACCCGGCUCUCCCUCAGGGAAACAUUCACUUUGGUGCUAAGUACUUUGUUACAUUGCAAAUGCUGUUAAUCCUUAUACUGUAUUUAGAGAUUUUCCAUUUCUAAGUCUUUCCUGUUACAAAUGAUAUAAAUGGAGUAAUGAAAAUGGCAGAGACUAAGUUCUUUAGGUACUGACAGAUGAAUUUUCUCAAUGUCAGACAUGCCGAAUAUUCAGAUUUCUUCUCUUUUUCUUCUAAACUCAAUGGAAAGCUAGUAGUAUACAUUUUUCGCUCAGUAUGAAAAUGAGUUUCCAUUUUUUUUCUAUUUUUUCAAGCAAUAUACGAAUGAGAUUUUUAAAAAUCAAAUAGUAAAAAAGCUUAUAGAAUGAGAAGAAGUUUCUCUCCCAGAUUUUUUUCAGUAUCAACAUAUAUAGAUUAACCUUUCUAAUAGCUGCAGAGCAUUCUGUUUUAAGGGUGUACUGUAAUUUAUUUAAUCUGUCUCUUAUUUAUAGGAAUUUAGGUUAUUUCUAGACUUUCGCUAUUACAAACCAUUAAGCCAUGAAUAUCCUUGUAGAUACAGUUUUGCUCACAUAUGCAAAUUUAUUGAAAAACGCUGAGCCAAACUGUCCUCUGUUGAGAUUAACAUUGAAAUAAAUCUUUAAAAACAAAUGCAUUAUUCUCCUAAACUGACAACACUCAAAAUACAGCACUGUUGCUUAAAUCUACAAACAAUUCUAUAUCUUUCAAGUUUGUAGCCCACCAUAUGUUUGCACGUGGGCAAUUUGUAAUUGAUAGUUAAGUACUUUGCAAACAACUUAUUUUAUUUAGAAAAAUAAAAUAUUGGCCAAACAUACACCUCUUAAUUAUAGACUUUUGGGAAAUGAUUAGAAUUAGGAUUCAUCCUAAAAAUAUAUUUGCCCCAGAGUUUUGGUACUUGGCCAAUCCCUGGCCUCAUUGUCCAUUUUUAUGUUUAUAUAUUUUAGAACUUCCAAUAUAUUCCGCAGACUAAGAGAGUUACUUGAUGACAAUGUUUUUCCCUUUUGAGAAGGCUCAGACUGGUUGUCUUACCCACAACCCUCUUCGAGGGAUCCCUUCCCCACAUAAUCCCUCUCCUCCUGGCCUCAGCUGUUUUCAUGGAGGAUGGGCACUGAUCUCCAGCCUGCGUGAGGUGAGCCAAUGGCCUUUGAAGACUCCUGAAUCAGCACCUCCACCAACAGCAGUGUCCCUGAUCAGGUCCUCACUCAGGAAGCCCAAAUGCAGGACUCUCAAAAAGGGAGUCAUUAAAAGUGUCAGGAUCUCUGAAACAAAGAGGGUAGAUAAGUCUCCACGCCCCUGGAGGUGGGAGAACAGAUGCCUUCUGCUAAGGGAGAGUCUCAGGUCAUGAGGCUGCUGGGGCUAUGACCACUUCUGAAGAACGUUUCUGUCCCUGUGGCCUGGCUGAGCAGCUAAGGCUGUGUCCUAUUCUUCCUUAAUGCUCUCGGUAAACAAAGUAACUUAAGCAUAACAUGUUCCUUGCAACCUGAAAGGAGCUGACUCAAUAUUCUUAGCAGAUAGUUAAAGAAGAACACAUUUCAUCAUUCAACAAAUGGCAAUGGAGUGCCUGGGAUGUGCAAGGUGUUGGGGACCCAUCAGCCCCUGUCGUGUAGUGGGUAAGUGCCCACGUUCUGCUUGGGCGGCCAGGGCUGAUCAAGAUAGAUAAGGUCUCUAUUAUCACGGAACUUACAGUCUUGUGAAGGAGGGCAGGAAACAAAAGGGUAAGAAAGAUAGCAGAUAGUGCUGAGUGUUAUGCAAAGAAGUAGAAAGUGGUGAUAGGACAGUAACUGGGUAACUACUUGGGACUGGGGAAUCAGGUAAAUCUCUGUGAAGAGUCCCCACCUAAGCUGAGACUAAAAUGACAAGAGCAAUCCAUUUGAGAACUAAGGGGAGAAAGACCAACUAAGAGAAAAGCCCUAAGGCAGUAAUGUGUGUAUCAGAGAAACAGAAUGACAGCGUGGUAAGGGAGAAGCUUCUAUGACAGGAGGCUCGAGAGGCAGGCUGGGACUAGGUCAUGUAGGGCUUCUCAUGCCCCAGUAAGGAUAUUCUAACUUGUUGAGAAGCUGUGGGAAGAUUAUCAGCAGGGGCUGAUACGGUGUGGUUGGCGUUUUUAAAUCUCUCUCCCGAGUGCAUCGGUAAGGGGCAGGGGCUGGUGACAGUGAAAGCAGGUAGACCAGUUAUGAAGCUACCACAGCAGUCCAGUGCAGAGUGAUGGCAUCUUAGGGUAGAGUGGGUGCCGUGUAGGUAGGGAAACAUUUGGAAUCUAGGAUAUGCUUCCCAGGGAGAAUCCUUAAGACCUACAGUAUUCAGUACAGUAACCUGCCUACAAGUCUAUAGCCUAGGAGCAAUAGGCCAUACCGCAUAGCCUCGGAGUGUAGUGGGCUACACCAUCCAAGUUUGUGUAAGUGCACUCUGCUGUUCGCACAAUGACGAAAUCGCCUAAGGACACAUUUCUCAGAAGGUAUCUCCGUCGUUGGUGGAUUAUUUAAGGGAGGAUGAGUCAUGAAUGAAAAGAAGUUGAGGGGAAAUGCACAUUAAACUCUAAAUAUUCCCAGACACUUUAAACUGAAGAAUGUCACUUUCCUUUUCACUGAAUCACUAGGUCCCAUUGAGAAACAGGUAGAAAAUGCGCUGCACCCGCUAUCGCACAGUAUUCUCCCAGGCUUGGCUUUCCGAAUCACCAAGGAAAGGUUCGAUUGUGUUGAGUGUGCUUUAGUUUAUGAAGCACUUUAUUAUAUGCCAGGUAUCUGGAAAUUUCUUUUCCACAUACCUUAAAUAUCCCAUCCUUCCAAUAGGGUAGAAGUGAGAGUGGUGAAGACAGAGUUGGUUCCUGAAAGUCUAAGAGAAAUCCAGAGGCAUUUUCAUAAUUAAGAUAACAGGAGUUCCUGGAACAGCCUCUACUUUCCCACAUUGUAAUUAAUUGUGUGUAACUUGAUUGUGUGUGGCCUCUUCUCCCAUGCCCUGUGAGAAGUAUGUGAAGACAGGCCUAAGUGCAUUUUGUUUACCACAUUUAUAUGUAUUUGGUGGCGCUAAAUGAGUGAGCCAAUCAAUGAAUAAAUGAACGAAUCUUCAAGAUCUGGCACCUGGUUGGCUUUUCCUUUGAACAGCAUAGGUUCUCUAACCUCAACCUGUCUUCCUGGUUAGUCUAAGACUGGCUUUUUGCCCUGAAUUUCUUUUUUAGGACAUUGGUUCUUCAUCUGGGUUUCUGCAUAUUUCGUCCCUAAUCUGAGCCUCCCCUUUAUUUAGUUACUCUACUUUUUUCUGCCUACACAGCAUGUUUGUGAAAAUUAUAUGUUAAGAUAGGAGAAGGUUUGCUCUCAGCAAGUUUUCAGGGUAGACACUCUAGACUCUAUUGUCGCUAGUAUAAUGGGAUGGGGCAAUGCACCACUCCGCCCGUGAGGCUGUGCAAGGCUCCACAAAGUCUCCUUUCAGUUUCAAAGUUGAUCUGAAGCCAUUACAUUCUGUCUAUUUGGGGACAUAGAUAUCAUGUUUAAAAAUGCUUUUUGCAGAGCAAUUCAGAGAAGAGUACAAUGUAUCAUUUAAGUACUAAAUAUUGACUAUUUCUACAAUGAAAAAGUACAGAGAGUUCCAUUUAUGUUUAUCCUUUUAUUGCAAAUUGCCACAACCUGGUCAAAAAAAUUCUUUCUGUGGUAGCAGGACAUCCGCCAGCAAAUGAGUUUGUUGAAAGGGCCACUGGUACCAAAUUCAGCACCGUGGGCCAACCCUGACCACAGCAGAGUGGUGUGAAGAGGUCUGACAGCCGCGUGGUCACCACCCAGGCUGGAGAGGAAGGCAGCAUGAGGUGUUAAUGGAAAAAUCCAACUUCCUUCUCUUCCAAAGAUGAUGAGCAAAACCAAAAUGGAGAUUUCCCUGAAUUAAUCCUCUUCCUUCUCAACUGCCUGCCAUUUACAUCAAGGAUGAAGUCGGGAGCUGGGGACACAAGGUAAAACAUGAGACCUUAAAGAUUAGCACUUGCUUUGAACAACGGCACGCUACAACGCUGGAAGCUGCAACUCCCGGUGCCCCACCACAACUGCCACUGCCACCACCAGCAGGGUUUGAAUUCUCUCUUCUGUCCCCGGAAGGACUUCAAAGCAAGCGUGAGAAGAUCUGGUUUCAUGAUCUAAGCAUAUUCUUUGGAACUUGAGUCCAAGCUCAUGUCUCACUGCUCCUAUGAACCUGCGAUCAGCCUCGUCUUGGGCAAGUUACUUAGCCUCUCUGGCCUGCCGGUCGUUUAUCUGUAAAAUAGGACUGACAAUGCCAGCUCCUACAGCUUCCUUCCUGUUGUUCCCCGAAAGCCGUCACCCUCCAGCAGAAGCAGCCCUCCUGGCAUCACAGAGAGGCUCCCACUUGGCACUGGAGUUUUUUGAACCUCUUGACAAGACUCCAUUAAUGAACUUGCUAGAGAACAGCUAGCGUGAGUUUCAGGCUCUGCCUCUGUUUCCUCCACUCACCUUUGUCCUUGCCUAGAUUGUCUCCCUGGAGAGCUGGCCAUCUUCCCACCUGUAAGACCCACAUUCUGGCUGUGCACUGCAAAGGGCAUGCUGGCCCCUCUUACAGCCAGCAGGAAUCCCAAAGCAAAAGGCAUCUUAGGUACCUGGGUAGGAACACAAGGACAACUAAGUUGCCAGAGGGUUGGGAUUUUUCUAGAAAGACGACUUUAUCAUCUUAGUGGUAAUUUGUAAAUGUGUACAAGUUGAGAGAAACAGGUAGAUCUUAGAAUCACCACCCUUAUUUGGGGCUAUUGCGAAUCAUUUUCUGAUUCAGGGUAGGGGGAUCUGUUGGUCAAUGUCAGGGAUGUAGAAAGGGGAUUUGCAAACAAGGAUCCAUACGUCGUCAGCAGGUGCCUCUAGUGGAAAUUUCAUCCAGACGCUGUGAGCUCUCCUUACACUAACAGAAGUGGCAAAGGAAACAAUGGGUCCAGGUGGACCCUAGGCUGUGCCCCUAUAUCACAGCUGGUAGUUCAUCUCUCUGAAUCCCAGGGGAUGACUGGUUAGAAUAGGGUUACAGGAUUGGUGAGUUUUAAAAAAAAACAAGAACAGAUUUUACUACGAUAAUGGAAUAUUAAAGGACACAGGUGAAUGGCAGGUGCUCUUGAGAGUCAUUAGACAGUAUUGUUACAUGUGAUACUCAGAGAAAGCAUUUCCUUUUUCUCAAGAAACAGCCAGCUACCCAGGUGGUGUCUGGGUAAGGUUUCUCAGCCAGCACCUUUUUGAGCUGAUGAGGAAGCCAGGAACAAUGUAGGUCAGUCUCUUUGUUUCUUCCAACAACCACUUAGCUCCUGGCCAGAUCUGACUACCUCCUCUUUGUGCUUUUCUCCGGAGCACAGAGUCAGCACCUUUUGGAUUCGGUUUCCAGACUAGAAGGAAGAGGUUCAGCCAGGCUGCCGUGUGGGCAACCUAGCCCCCUGCAGGCUCUGGUGACAGAGGCUUUUCCUUGCCUCUGUGAGGGUGAGGGCAGAGAGAGAAACUAUGUGCCUGGAAGGGUCUGAGGAACAGCUCCUCAGCCUCACUGGACACUGGACGGCACAACUCUCAACCACAGUCAGUUAAGUAAACUGGAUGCCCCUAUGUCUCUCUCAACAAAACCAGAAGUUAAUCAGAAAGCCGUGGUGCAAAGCUGGGAAUCAGGGAGCUAAUGAAAAUGAAACCCUGUCUCUCUCCAGGACAAGGCUGCUGGUUGCUUCAACCAGUUGUUGGUUUGAAGAACUCUUAGCAGUGGUAAAAAUCUAAUGUCCUUGAUGUACCAGCUGGAGUUGAUAGGCCUUUUAAAAUUCUCUUAUCAUGUGGAUUUUGACUUUUUCAGCACAUUAUAAACCCAGUAGGACAAACCGUUAAAAAAAAACUCUCCACAAAUCCAUUAACCCUGGGAAACAAAGGAGAGAAUCUACUGUCAGCCAAACUGUUAAUGUGUGGUUGGUGCUGCAGAGUCCUCUUCCCCCUGUUUGAUGAGCUAAGCCUUCAGGACAGCCCUGUGGAAGGGGCAGACGCCACAGUGGUCAUUAUCUUUAUUUUAUCCAUCCAAUGUCCAGAGGGGAAGCAGCAUGCUUGAGUUCCCAGAGCCUCUACUUGGACUUGGGACAGGAACCCUUAGUCCUGUGAGUGAGAGGGUCAACUUAUCCUUCUAAGCUUUUAUCUCUAAGCCAGUCAUUCACCCCUUGAAGUGGGUUCUUCUCUUAACUGUAUCUGCCUCCACUAACCAUCUCUAAUUUACACAUAUGUUUAUAAAAUCCUACUUUAGAAGAGAUGAGAGGCAAGAGGAGAACUUAAGAGAAAAUAUUUAUAUCAUAAGUCAUUAUGUCCUCACCAGAUGGAAGGAAAAUAAAAAACAUUGAGAAGUUCUUUUUUUCAGAUGAGUUGAAAGAAUGUCCCUGUGUGGCUUGAAUAGCAAGAAAAGGAAAAUAUUCCUCUUUCAAUGGGUACUUCCUCUACUUUAGGUUGGCAAGAAAUGCUUCAAUAACAGGUUGUCCAGAAUGUUACUUCAAAGACCUGGAGUUGGCACAUUGGGUGCUCUUGCCACAAACUGUAUCCAAAAAUGAUUUAACUUCCCCAGUCAGUGAUGUGUGCAAAUGGCACACACAGCACUAACCACACAUGCACGCAAUGUAUGAAUUCCCACAUUCCUGACUUCUCAUUCCAGCCAGAGAACAUUUUUUUCAGAGCUAAAAAGAAAUGAAUCAAGUUUGUAAAAGGAUAUGUGUGAAAAUGCCAGAGGAAAAAUGAAAAUCAGAUGCUUUUAAAGGCAGGGCCUGAAUUGCUUAGCUGAGAUGUCCUGCCACCUUCCAUGCUGUCGCUCAUUAGAGGUGACCAGGGAAACAGCCAUUGAGUCCUGUAGACUUAGGGGGUCUAAGGUGGGGCAGGAGAAAUAGAGUCAUUGGUAGUUCUUUAGAAUAAUUAUGAAAUAGCUAAAUCUUGAAGGAAAGGCAUUUCAGGCUGGUUCUUAUGGGCACAGCAUCUGUGCAGCACAAAAUGUUUUCGUGUCUCAUUGUUGCUGUACUUUCAGCUCGUAGAAUUCUUGAGAAAGAAAGAAGCCAUUCCCACCACAAUGACUCCCCUGUUAGCACGAUGGGCCCAGGCAGAAAAGUUAUAUUUUUUGAGUCUAGUGUGUUAAUAGACUCACAAAAAGAUUUACUGGGGACAUGGAGUGGUGGGAAAGUAAUAUUUUGCACCACAGUUUUUAUUUUGAUAAUUCCCUGAUGUGAAUUCCUGUGUUCUGAGCCAGCUUCUCAUUAACAGAAUUAACACAUUCUCUGCUGUUCCUGUCACAGCACAAUAUUGAUCACAAUGCAGAGGAAAUUCAGCUGCCUUCUCUGGAAAUUGCUACACAUGGGACAAAGUGGAUUUAUUGACAAGAUAACUGCUAGCCUUGGGAAUAUUCUGUCAAUGGUGACCUGGCAUGUUAUUACAUAUGCCGCCACUGCUUAUGAGCCGCCAUAUUGGAUGAAAUUUAGCAAAUCUGUUUUUGACCAGUGGGAUAUGAAAAACCUAGACCAAGCAUUCAUCAGAAGCAUAAUUUAUGAAUGUCCUAUACACUAUAGGAUCUUUAUGCUUUUCUCUAAAUCUUGAUUUCAAUGCUGAAUAUUUAACUAGGAGCAUGUAUAUACCAUGUGGGCUGUCAUUUUUCAUUUGAAUAAGGCAUUGUGAUUAUUCAAGGGAAAGACAGACAUUUGAAUAGUACCAUGGAAUAGGAAAUGUGAUGAGUAGCUAGAGAAAUAUGUUAGCCAUAUAGGCACACAACACUCCCAAUUUUUUCUAAGGAAUGGCAGUGUUGACAAGUUUUAAGCCAUGGUCCUUCAAUGUCGCGUGUGAAAAUACUCUAUGCUUGACAGAAAAUAAUUAAAACAGAAAUCAUUUCUUAGAUAAAUAUGGGCACACAGAAAUUGGAAAGAACUGAUACCAUCCAAAAGACUCCAACUCUUCUUUCCUAGUGUCCCCAGAAUCAUAAUACCAAAUCUUGACGAGUCUAGUUCUGGUCAAUAAAAUACUCUUGUAGUGUGGCUUCUGAGAGAAAUAUUGGGUUUGCAGUACUUCCUCUCUUUAAGUUAUUUCAAAUUACUCUCGGAACUGCCUUUACCCACCAGUAUUCUUAAGAAUACUGAGGGAGUCCUAAAAGAACAUUAUUCUUCCUGCUUUUUAAGCAAUUCCUCUUCAUAACAUCUGGCAUUAGCGAUCAGAGUGUAGCUCACUCUGAAGAGUGAGAUUAGAAACAGUAUUAGCAGACAACUGAGAAGAAACAUCAAUCAUCAAUAUUGGGUCAAACACUAAAGUUUGGUUAAAGAAAGAAAUAUUAACCGUCAAAAUUUUUGAGUAAUGCCUAACUCUUUGUCAUUGUGUUUGAGCUUAGAGAACUCACAAGAGGUUCGCUGUGGUCUUGAGAGAGUUGCUUUAUUGUCUUGGUUUUACAGAUGAGAGCUCAACUUUGGAAGUAAAGUGGCUUCCUGCAGGAGUUGUAGAGGAGAGCUGGUCUCACGUACAGAUGCAUUUCUUAAUAGAGUCUUAACUUUCUGCUGCUAUUUCUAUCCUUUUCUGAAAUCUGUCCUGAGUUUUCUUGGACAUGACCCCUUUUACUAUCUAGGAAAUUCUGAUCGCUUGAGUAGAGAAGGGAAGACAGGAUGUCCUAUAUAUAUUUUUCUAUAGAAUUUAGGUACACCAGUAUGCAAAAUGUACACAUUAUCUGCAAAUGAGCAGAACUAAAAGUGCUUUACAAUGCUCAUGAUAUAAGGUAUUAUAAUCACCACAUGACUCCAUUUGCAAGAUGCCAUCAAAGUACAUCACUGAUUAAAUAACUUUGCAGCGAGAAAAGAAAUUCUACAUUAAAUGCACACAUCAAUUCUAAGAUGCAUUCCAUUGUACAAAAUUUGAAAAUAUAAAGCUUGUAUAUGAAGGAAUAAAGCAAAUAAGAGUUUACCAUACUUCUUCCCUACUAAAACAUGUAUUCUUUUCACUAUAUUCAAGUUUCAGCAGUCUAUAAUCUACAGCAGACAAUCUAUAAUCUCUGUAACUAACACUGCAUUUCUGAAAAAUACUUUUGAAUACUAGGAAUGAAAUACAAAAUUAAGAAGAAAGUAAAAAUGCUUCAACUGACAUAACUAAUCAGUAACAGCAACAAAAAAGAAUUCACUAGUGCCAUGACUCUUAUCACAAGAAAUAAAGAAAUGCACUAGUUAAUGAUCAAAAGGAAUGGAAUUGAGAGACAAUAGCUGAUAGUCUCUGAGUCACUUUCUCCGCUGGCCCGUUAUUUUUAGUUAAAUCAUUUUGCAUAAGCAACAGGCUUUCUUGCUUAGUAAGCCCUUAAGAAUUUUAAGCGUUUGCCUAGAGUUGACAGAAGUCAUCAUCAGCCACCAGUGAUCAGUUCUGAUGGGUUCAUUUUAACCUUGAAAACACCAGGAGUUUAUUAAUAUAAAUUGUCAUGUCUUUGUAAAAUCACACCAGACUGGAAAAAGAAACCAAAAAUAAUAAAUAAAUAAAAUAAAAAUAGGCGAUAGGAAACAAGUAAGUUGCUGAACUGUUAGAGCAAUCUGGAGAUGAACUUGAGGAAGAACGCAGUGUACCCGUCACCUGAGAGGCCUCCCUGGCUUGGUAAUGAUAGAAGCAGGCCCACCGCAGCCUGAGGUCGGAAAAGCCCAUGCGCCCCCCAGCACCCUCUGGGAGCUCAAGCCGUCUGAAAUGACUGAUUCUCUGUUCUCUGUUGCGAUGAUAAUUCUGACUUCAGGAUUACGAACCUGGGGCCUUGGCUUCAUACUGGCCGUGUUUCCUGGAAGAAAAUGAAAGAGUCUCUUGCUUCUAGUUUGGAGCUUGACAGCACACCGAAAACUUUCAGAUAGUGUUCGCUAUUGAGGAAGACUUGUGGGAUAGACAGGGAGAGAAACGAAAAGAGAAAGGAAGGAGACAGCUUUGCACCAUCCUGAUGCAUAUCUGGCCUGUAACUCUAUGCCAGGGGCCCUCACACCAGAUGCUGAAAGGAUGUUCUCCUAAUGGGAGGACCCUGCCAUUGUCCUCAGCCUCUGUACCUGAAACUCCCAGGUACAAGCCAUGGAGCUGUCAGGUAGCAAGAGUGUCUUUUGGACAGCGGAAGGCACUAUGGAAACGGAGGUAACUUGGACCUGUCAACUCAAAUUACAGGGAGCGGAAACAAAAGUCACAUCGAAUGUUAUUGUUUCCUUGCCACAGCUGAGGACAACCAAACAUAGGGAAAGCUUGAAUUCUCACUAGUCAAAAAAGAAAAAGAAGGAAAAAUAUGAUCCCAUAAGAAUAAACCCGAUCUUCUCAUAGCAGAAAAUGGCGCUUUUUUUUUUUUUGGAAGGUUUUGAGCAAAAUCUGUUGAAGAGAGACCUUGAGCAUCUUUGUUAAAAGUUCUACUAGCUGUAGGAAUCUUAUUCAAGGUAGAUUGGUAGCUUUUGGCUUAAAAUGUUUGGAAAAGUCCAGGUUUUACCAGAGCUUCAGAGGAAAAGAAUGAUUUAAUGAUCAGCCAGAGAGGGGAAUGUAGAAGCUAGUUUUAUACUGAUUCAUCUAUUGCCCAUUGGGAACUUUGGACGAUUUUUAAAAUCUUCCCAGGCCUGUGUUUGUUCUUUCUUCCCCUGGCAAUAUACUUUCAGUGGCUUACGAAGGGGGAAAGCAGGAGGUGAGGGGUUAGGAGUCCUGAGGUUUCCCCGUUUCUGACACCACCUGCAGAUAAGGCAGUGACUGAUGCGUUCUAAGCCUCCAUGUCACCCAGUCAAAUGAGGGAUCUGAACGCACAGUGUUUAAGCAUCUUUGCUGUUCUACAGCCCUGAUUCUUUGAUUUAUUAUGCCUCACCUUAACUGCCUGCUUACGGACAUCAUCUCGAUCCUCUUUUGUGGAGACUAGUACAUUGAGAUUUCCUCUCCUCCUCCAGCAACAUCAUCCAAAUCCUCCUGCCUGUCUUCCCAGAGGGUAUUUCUUACACUUAAUAACUGUCACUGCUCUUUCCUGCACUUUUCCAGAGUUCCAGCUCAGGGGUAGACAGAAACAUUGAAGAGGGGCUUCAAAUGAAAACCUGACUGGUGCUGAGGCACGAGAAGCACCCAACGCAUCCAUCCUCACUAUGUUUGACAAAUUCAACCAUCUGACUCCAGGCGCAGCUCUCCGCGGAGGGAAGGGAGCCCUGGGCUGUGAGAAAGCACACGGGGCCCUCGCCUGAUUGGGCCGGUGGGUCACUGCCCUAGCUCCAGCCAUAUUCCCUGGUAUCAGCUCAAGCACCCUCCUCAGCUUAAGAAAAGGCUGGGAUCAGCUGGCUGAGUUCUCUGGCCACUCCCUGAUAAAGUCUUCAGAGAUGAUCACAGCUUUUAGGGCUGUGCUCGCUCCAAGCACUUCUGACUGCAUUUCCUAUUCAUGCAGUUUAUUUUAAUUUCUUCCUUAAAUACAUUACAAAGAAACCUCUCCUUUUGAAGUCCAUCCUAGGAGUACCCUGCUUUAUUUCAAAAUGGUUCACUUUGCGUUUCAAUCUUCUUCUCCAGAGAAGAGCUGCUAACAUCUAGUUUGGUUGUCAGGCUCCCUCUUCCAUCAGCAGGUCAUUAAUAAACAAGCUAAUAAGCAACACCAGGUAACACUGUACUUUGUAGAAUUCAAUAGGGACAGCCAGGUUCAUAUUGACCCAUUGAUAAGUGCGGAUUUGAUUCAUUUUGAGUAAAAAGAUUCUGAGGGGAAAAAUUAGUAUUAGUGAAUGGUGAGAACUGGCUGGACUGAAUCAGUGAAAAAUAUGAAUGAAGGUUUUCAACAUUGAUUUUCAUUUCCUAGAAGCGAUAAUAAGUGUUAAUAGUAUGAUUAUUGUUAGUAUUGAGUAUCUGCUCUCCAUCAGACACUGUCGUAAGUGGUUUUUAUAUAUAACAUCUCAUUUAAUUUAAUGAUAGCUAAGUUAGGACAGGUGGUUAAACAAGUUCCGAGACGUAGGACUCCCUAAGUCAAUUCUAAUAAAGAAAUGAAUGCUAUGGAGCCUCCUGGAAUACUUAGUCUUUGGCAGGGAUUAAAAUCCUACAUGCCUCCAGGAUCUGGCUGAUUCACUUACAUGAGUAAAGAGAGCUGAAUGUGAGACAAUAGGGCACGGAGGAGACUGUGGACAGCUGGAGAGUGCACACUCCAGUUGAUGUUGCCUUGCUGGAAUGUGAGUACGUUUUAUCUGAUCUCAUGCUGUUUUCUUCAGUAAAAUCCAGAAAUCUCAAUAUGUAUGUGACACUCUCUCCUGUUUAGAAAGCAAUGGGCAAGCCAAACAAGAUACAUCUAAGAGACAGCUGUGUCUUCCUCGUCUCCAGUUCAUGAUCUUUACUCCCUACUGUUUAUUCAUAUAUGUCAUAUACUACUAUCUUGUCUCAGGUAAUCUAGUAUGUAUACAGGAGUCCCAAGCUUUGGAAUGUCUGCCAUAUGAGCAUCCCUUCUUUACAAGCGACCACUCUGAAGGGCCACUCUGACUAGGGACUCAUUUUCCUUCUGUGUAACUCUUUACUUCUAUUGCCACCACAGGCUUCCCUCAUCAAGCAUUUCAGCUAUUCCAUCCUCUUUGAGAUGUUUUUCCUUCCCCUACAUUUUUCCCUAAUCGCCCCAUGACCCAUAAUGGCAGAGGGUCAACAGGCUGUCCUUAAAGCUACAGGUCUUUCAUCUCUGGAUGGCUUCCUGAAGCUGAAGACCUUAGCCAUCACUGCCAUUUGUCAAGGACUUGCUAAGCAGCCUGAUCUUCUCCUUUCUCACCUGAGGAGGAGAAGACUUCACUUUCUGAGCUUACUUGCAGAAGACUUGAACUCCCUCCAAAUCUUGCAAGAUCUCUACCUCGAUCCUUUCUCCUACUACUGAGGAUCCUCACUCAAGAACCAUGAACUCCCAAAAAGAAAAAAAAAAUUACUUGAAAAAAAAAAGAACCAUGAACUCCCAUUUCCUCCAGCUUGGGACUCUCAAUUUGGUUCCCUUUCCCACUGUUUGAGACAAGUCAAGGUGCGUUAUGGCCAGUGAAAAGGUAGUGAGGUAGAGAUGGGAGUGGUGUAGACUCAUGUCUCUGUAACUAAUUUCCAGUGCGAUAUUGUCCCAUAGCAACAAUAGUAAACUUUGAAGGUUGGCUCUGAAGUACCAUUAUGAACUUACUGUUUUGAAGCUGGCCGAGAGAGGAUUAGAUUUUUCACCCAAGUGCUCAUCAAAGGACAGAGGUUGUGUAAACUCAUUUUCCCAAACCUCUUUCCUCUGUGAACAUUCUUCUGAAGAUUUAUGACUUAUCUUAAACAUUCAUGAGUAUUUUGCAUUCUACUUCUUGCUAUAUUUAUUUAAGUUUGAAAAUCUCUUAGAUUAUUUAUACAAUCAUAGGACACAUAACAAUGUUUCAGUUGAUGACAGAUCCCAUAUGUGACAGUGGUCCCAAAAGAUUACCA